GCAACUUGUACUGUGAAACUGCGAAUGGCUCAUUAAAUCAGUUAUCGUUUAUUUGAUAGUACCUUACUACAUGGAUACCUGUGGUAAUUCUAGAGCUAAUACAUGCUAAAAACCCCGACUUCAGGAAGGGGUGUAUUUAUUAGAUAAAAAACCAACGCCCUUCGGGGCUCCUUGGUGAAUCAUAAUAACUUAACGAAUCGCAUGGCCUUGCGCCGGCGAUGGUUCAUUCAAAUUUCUGCCCUAUCAACUUUCGAUGGUAGGAUAGUGGCCUACCAUGGUGGCAACGGGUAACGGGGAAUUAGGGUUCGAUUCCGGAGAGGGAGCCUGAGAAACGGCUACCACAUCCAAGGAAGGCAGCAGGCGCGCAAAUUACCCAAUCCCGAUACGGGGAGGUAGUGACAAUAAAUACUGAUACGGGGCUCUUUUGGGUCUCGUAAUUGGAAUGAGAACAAUUUAAAUCCCUUAACGAGGAACAAUUGGAGGGCAAGUCUGGUGCCAGCAGCCGCGGUAAUUCCAGCUCCAAUAGCGUAUAUUAAAGUUGUUGCAGUUAAAAAGCUCGUAGUUGAACCUUGGGUCUGGCUGGCCGGUCCGCCUCACCGCGAGUACUGGUCCGGCUGGACCUUUCCUUCUGGGGAACCUCAUGGCCUUCACUGGCUGUGGGGGGAACCAGGACUUUUACUGUGAAAAAAUUAGAGUGUUCAAAGCAGGCCUUUGCUCGAAUACAUUAGCAUGGAAUAAUAGAAUAGGACGUGUGGUUCUAUUUUGUUGGUUUCUAGGACCGCCGUAAUGAUUAAUAGGGAUAGUCGGGGGCGUCAGUAUUCAGCUGUCAGAGGUGAAAUUCUUGGAUUUGCUGAAGACUAACUACUGCGAAAGCAUUCGCCAAGGAUGUUUUCAUUAAUCAGGGAACGAAAGUUAGGGGAUCGAAGACGAUCAGAUACCGUCGUAGUCUUAACCAUAAACUAUGCCGACUAGGGAUCGGACGGGAUUCUAUAAUGACCCGUUCGGCACC
rnacentral:rRNA from 1 species